CGGGCAGGAGGCGGGCGGGGGCUGGGGCGCUCGCUCCCGGCCUCGCCCAGCCCCUCGGCGCGGCCCCCCGCCCCCUGCGCCGUCGCUGCCAACCCGGAAGGAGCCCGGAGGGGCCCGGGCGCCCCAGCCAGGAGGCCCGCCAGGAUCCAGCCCUCCAAGGAAAGCUUCCUGAGCAGUGCGUGCCAUGUGUACUGGGCACCUCACGGCGGCCACUUCGCAUCUUGUCUCAAGUGAAUCUUCAAGCCACUCUGCUGGAACUGGGUGCAAUAUUCCCAUUUUACAGAAGAGAAAACUGAGGCCCAGGUGGAGAAACUGAGCCACUGAGAGGAGCUGUCAUUUACCUGAAGCACCGUGGCAGGGGUUUGGCAGAGCCAGGAUUUGUACCCAGAUCACCUGACUUUGGAGAGUACCAGCUCUUAACCACAGCACUUUGGUCAAAGCCUUAAUUUCACCAUAUGUAACAAGACAAAGUCUUGCUCUGUCACCCAGGCUGGAAUGCAGUGACGCAAUCUUGGCUCACU